CCUACGGGUGGCUGCAGUCUAGAGGCUUUGACAAUGCCCGAAAGGGUGAUCAAGCGACGCCGCGUGCGGGAUGAAGGUCUUCGGAUUGUAAACCGCUUUUCUUUGGGGAGAAGGCCCUGUUCGUGAAGCAGGGAUUGACGGUACCAGAGGAAUAAGCCCCGGCUAACUCCGUGCCAGCAGCCGCGGUAAGACGGAGGGGGCGAGCGUUGUUCGGAAUUAUUGGGCGUAAAGGGCUCGUAGGCGGACGGGUAAGUCUGGCGUGAAAUCUCCACCGC
rnacentral:rRNA from 1 species